rnacentral:tRNA from 1 species
GCACAGAUGGUGUAACGGCAGCACCAGGGUCUCCAAAACCUUUAGUCAGGGUACCCUUCGGGAAGCCGCUCCGCGUCUACAAAUCCUUGUCUGCGCG